GUGGGGAAUCUUGCGCAAUGGGCGAAAGCCUGACGCAGCAACGCCGCGUGCGGGAAGAAGGCUCUCGGGUUGUAAACCGCUUUCAGCAGGAACGAAAAUGACGGUACUUGCAGAAGAAGGUGCGGCCAACUACGUGCCAGCAGCCGCGGUGACACGUAGGCACCAAGCGUUGUCCGGAUUUAUUGGGCGUAAAGAGCUCGUAGGCGGUUCGGUAAGUCGGGUGUGAAAACUUUGGGCUUAACCCAAAGCCUGCAUCCGAUACUGCUGUGACUAGAGUUCGGUAGGGGAGUGGGGAAUUCCUAGUGUAGCGGUGAAAUGCGCAGAUAUUAGGAGGAACACCGGUGGCGAAGGCGCCACUCUGGGCCGAAACUGACGCUGAGGAGCGAAAGCGUGGGUAGCAAACAGGAUUAGAUACCCGGGUAGUCC
rnacentral:rRNA from 1 species